rnacentral:tRNA from 1 species
GCUACGUAGCUCAGCUGGUUAGAGCACAUCACUCAUAAUGAUGGGGUCACAGGUUCGAAAAUUUAAAAGUCGUUCAGCA